CUUUACUGGGCAGCCGCUUGCGCUGGUUAAGUCCCGAUGCUUUCGGCCUGGCCUGAGUCCCCUCUCCCCGACCUCCAAAUCGUGUUACCUUGUCCACGCUCUCCAGACCACGCUUGGGACUGUCUCACUUUUAUUUAAGAGUCCUCGGGGGGAAAAGAGGAGGAAAAAAAAUCCAGAGGCGAUCCGAACGAAUAGGAAAGAAAAAACUUUCAAAAGGGUGUCCACAGCAGCGAAAAAGACACGGGCCUGAACGUGACCAGACCAAGAGUGGCCGGUGCAGCCUGCCAGCAACUGAGACUCCGCCCAGACUCUACCGACCUUCAAACGACAACAGGGCUUGAUUCAGGAGGGUGUGGGGAGACCGAUUCCCACCAGGACCUCACCAGACCCUCAGAACCCCAGCCACACCACUCUUCUUUCAGACCUAAAGGACUCCAGCUUCAUCACCAAGAGGCCCCCUUCCUGAGGCUGGGCAAUCACAGGGGCUGGUUUAAUGGCCACCCCCCACACAGCACCCCCACCCCCCAGCACACACAGACCACACUCCCGUCUGUUAGAAGGCGCUCAGGGGCAAACACAAUUCACAGGUUCUCUUUCCAACUCCUAACAAAGGAAGGAUCAUCUUUACUGCACUGAACAGCAGUGACCCCGACACCCCUAGUACCCCAACUCCAUUAGGAGCACUAGCUGCCUCUCCCAUUAGAAAUGUUCUGUGCUGAAGGUUCAAAUAAAGCCUGGCCCUCCUG